ncrna:unclassified sequences SAM-I/IV variant riboswitch
AAAAAGCAUGGAGAGAGGUCAAAACCUCAGCAACCUAGAAAGCUAACUAAGGUGCUUAAAUAUGUGGUUUAUAACAAAAAAUAGCUUUC